AGCCAACUCUGCUAACUGAAACAUUCAGGCGAACAUCACCAGGACCUCCUCGUUCAAGGAAAAGGCUUCCCAUAUGUCAGGAGCUUGACAGACUAUAACAGCUGUAAACAUUACAGGAAUAUUCAACCCGACCAACAUAUUUCAAUGACACAUCAUUCAGCUUUGAGGAGCAAUUAGCACAAAUCUGCAAACACAGGACAGGAGAACAAUGGACCUUUGGAGUGAAUCAACAGGCCUGUGCUAAUUACGGUUAGCAGGACAGACUCCUCUCUCCCACUGCGACGGGCUUCAAGGUCCCUCCGGAGCUGCAACACACCGGAUGGUCUGCCAGCAGCCACAGGUGCAAAGCACUCAGUGCCAAUGUUAAAAACAGAACAUAACACAUGCACACACACAAACACAGGGUCUGACAAACGCACAAAACCAGGGACCAAUACUCUCUCUGUCAUGUUGUGGUCAUCUCAUGCAGGUGGCCCCAUCACACAGCACUUUUUUUCAUUACGUAUUUGCCAGGAGUUAAAGUGCUGUUAACCCCUUUUCACCCAACUGUAAGCACCUGAGAGAGGAGUGUGUCAAAAACUU